AUUGAACGCUGGCGGCAUGCCUUACACAUGCAAGUCGAACGGUAACGCGGGGCAACCUGGCGACGAGUGGCGAACGGGUGAGUAAUACAUCGGAACGUGCCCAGUAGUGGGGGAUAGCCCGGCGAAAGCCGGAUUAAUACCGCAUACGACCUACGGGUGAAAGCGGGGGACCGCAAGGCCUCGCGCUAUUGGAGCGGCCGAUGUCAGAUUAGGUAGUUGGUGGGGUAAAGGCUCACCAAGCCUGCGAUCUGUAGCUGGUCUGAGAGGACGACCAGCCACACUGGAACUGAGACACGGUCCAGACUCCUACGGGAGGCAGCAGUGGGGAAUUUUGGACAAUGGGCGCAAGCCUGAUCCAGCCAUUCCGCGUGCAGGAUGAAGGCC
rnacentral:rRNA from 1 species